GCCUUGUUGGCGCAGUAGGCAGCGCUUCAGUCUCAUAAUCUGAAGGUUGAAUUCAACCCCCACACGGGGCA
rnacentral:tRNA from 1 species